UACGAAGGGGCUAGCGUUGCUCGGAAUCACUGGGCGUAAAGGGUGCGUAGGCGGGUCUUUAAGUCAGGGGUGAAAGUCCUGGAGCUCAACUCCAGAACUGCCUUUGAUACUGAGGAUCUUGAGUUCGGGAGAGGUGAGUGGAACUGCGAGUGUAGAGGUGAAAUUCGUAGAUAUUCGCAAGAACACCAGUGGCGAAGGCGGACU
rnacentral:rRNA from 1 species